GAGCAGUGAUGAUUUUAGAUAUGACUGACUUGGAAUUGCUGGCUUCACGUCAGGCUCUGUCCUUGAAAUGACGUCUGUUAAUCUUCUCUCUGAGCUG
rnacentral:snoRNA from 1 species